GUGGGGAAUAUUGGUCAAUGGCCGAGAGGCUGAACCAGCCAUGCCGCGUGCGGGAAGACGGCCCUAUGGGUUGUAAACCGCUUUUGUCGGGGAGCAAUAAGUCUUACGAGUAAGAUGAUGAGAGUACCUGGCGAAUAAGCAUCGGCUAACUCCGUGCCAGCAGCCGCGGUAAUACGGAGGAUGCAAGCGUUAUCCGGAUUUAUUGGGUUUAAAGGGUGCGUAGGCGGGAUUUUAAGCGUGAGGUGAAAUGCCACGGCUCAACCGUGGAACUGCCUCGCGAACUGGGAUUCUUGAAUGCCCCUGCCGUGGGAGGAAUGUGUGGUGUAGCGGUGAAAUGCAUAGAGAUCACACAGAACACCGAUUGCGAAGGCAUCUCACGAAGGGGUGAUUGACGCUGAGGCACGAAAGCGUGGGGAUCAAACAGG
rnacentral:rRNA from 1 species